UACAGAGGUCUCGAGCGUUGUUCGGAUUCACUGGGCGUAAAGGGUGCGCAGGUGGGUUGGUAAGUUUGGUGUGAAAGCUUCGGGCUUAACCCGGAAAAUGCAUUGAAUACUACUGAUCUGGAGGGUUGGAGGGGGGACUGGAAUUCUUGGUGUAGCAGUGAAAUGCGUAGAUAUCGGGAGGAACACCUGUGGCGAAGGCGGCCAUCUGGACGACGAUUGACGCUGAGACGCGAAAGCGUGGGUAGCAAACAGG
rnacentral:rRNA from 1 species